CAAGCACAGACCAGGGAGACCUCUCUACUUUGCAGUUAUCUGAAGUGUCAGCAGAAUUUUCUAGAUUUGGAUAGCACUGGCAUUUUGGAACAGUCACGUGAUGGGAACUCCUUCCUCCUUUCCACACGACUCUCUGGCCUCCUUCCUGUCUCAGAUUCUCUCCUGGGUCCUGUGACACAGAUGCACCAGGCACCAUCCCGGCCCCGAGGAGCUCCAGGCUCACAGAAAAUUUCACACUUAUUGAAUUUAUACAUUUCUAACCCGGGACAUUGGAAGCAACGCUGGAAGGAGAAAUCGUAUCCCAGAGUGACAGCGGAGGUUUCCCUGGGAUGUGUUUUGUGCUGUUUGAGCACAGGCAGCAGGAGGUGAUUUUUUUCCCCCAGCAUCAGGAACUCCUCUGCGCAGAAAAGCUGAGGGACACCGAGCAAGCCUCUCACGGGGACACUUGGGUGUUUAGUGAACAGCAACUAAAACUGGCUGCGUUGGUGCAAAGUGUGUGCCGAUCACACGUUUAAGGACUCAGAGGACAUCAAGGCACGAGAUCACUCGAGCGAGCAGGCGACUGAGAUGACACCGGCUGAUGGGGGGGGGGGGGGUGAACAGCACAGUGGGAGGCCUCCUGCUUUUUCUGCCUUGGUGGGGGGAGGCGAGGUUAUUAAUGAUGGGAUGGAUUAGAGCAGAUGGGUAUUUUUGACACAUUUCCCCAUGUUGUUAUUUUCCAAUAUCCCAUCUUCCCACCACCUAGUCAUGUGCCUUUCUCUUGGUUAAGAGUGAAAGCAUGUGACUUUUUAAAGGGAAACCUCAGGAAGGGAGAGUAGAAAUGAAGACGUGACCGUAUUGCUCAGAAGGCACACUCCGCAGAUCUGGAAAGUCCUCCCAAAGCCUCUGCUGGGAGGCGACAGGGAGAAGCGACCGCGGGCACGUGUGACUUUGGACACUGUGUUCUAAGGCAAGCCCUGCGACCCAUCCCACUGGCUCAGUCCCAACCUCGGAGCAUCCACCACUCGCUUCCUGAUUACCUUUCUGCAGCCCAGAGAUUUGCAUUGUAAAUGCUGUUUGUUAGGCCCCUGAAAUAAUAUUAAUCACUGUAAAACAAUUAUGUUGCAUAAUUUGUACAUAAAAAAGAAAGAAUGAACCUUUGGC
rnacentral:lncRNA from 1 species